AUUGAACGCUGGCGGUAUGCUUAACACAUGCAAGUCGAACGGAAACGAUACUAGCUUGCUAGUAGGCGUCGAGUGGCGGACGGGUGAGUAACGCGUAGGAAUCUGCCUGAUAGUGGGGGAUAGCCCGAAGAAAUUCGGAUUAAUACCGCAUAAUCUAUUCGUAGUAAAGUGGGGGACUUUCGAGCCUCACGCUAUCAGAUGAGCCUGCGUAAGAUUAGCUAGUUGGUAGGGUAAAAGCCUACCAAGGCAACGAUCUUUAGCUGGUCUGAGAGGAUGAUCAGCCACAUCGGGACUGAGACACGGCCCGAACUCCUACGGGAGGCAGCAGUGGGGAAUAUUGGACAAUGGGGGCAACCCUGAUCCAGCAAUACCGCGUGUGUGAAGAAGGCCUGAGGGUUGUAAAGCACUUUCAAUUGUGAAGAAAAGUUAACGGUUAAUAACCGUUAGCCUUGACGUUAACUUUAGAAGAAGCACCGGCUAACUCCGUGCCAGCAGCCGCGGUAAUACGGAGGGUGCAAGCGUUAAUCGGAAUUACUGGGCGUAAAGCGUGCGUAGGCGGUUUAUUAAGUCAGAUGUGAAAGCCCCGGGCUUAACCUGGGAACUGCAUUUGAAACUGGUCAACUAGAGUAUGGUAGAGGAAAGUGGAAUUUCUGGUGUAGCGGUGAAAUGCGUAGAUAUCAGAAGGAACAUCAAUAGCGAAGGCAGCUUUCUGGACCAAUACUGACGCUGAGGUACGAAAGCGUGGGUAGCAAACAGGAUUAGAUACCCUGGUAGUCCACGCCGUAAACGAUGAUAACUAGCCGUUGGGGGGAUUUACCCUUUAGUGGCGAAGCUAACGCGUUAAGUUAUCCGCCUGGGGAGUACGGCCGCAAGGUUAAAACUCAAAGGAAUUGACGGGGACCCGCACAAGCGGUGGAGCAUGUGGUUUAAUUCGAUGCAACGCGAAGAACCUUACCUGGUCUUGACAUCCUGCGAACUUUCUAGAAAUAGAUUGGUGCCUUCGGGAACGCAGUGACAGGUGCUGCAUGGCUGUCGUCAGCUCGUGUCGUGAGAUGUUGGGUUAAGUCCCGUAACGAGCGCAACCCCUAUCCUUAUUUGCCAGCACGUCAUGGUGGGAACUAUAAGGAGACUGCCGGUGAUAAACCGGAGGAAGGCGGGGACGACGUCAAGUCAUCAUGGCCCUUACGACCAGGGCUACACACGUGCUACAAUGGGAAGGACAAAGAGCCGCGAAGCCGCGAGGUGUAGCUAAUCUCAGAAACCUUUUCGUAGUCCGGAUUGGAGUCUGCAACUCGACUCCAUGAAGUCGGAAUCGCUAGUAAUCGUAGAUCAGAAUGCUACGGUGAAUACGUUCCCGGGUCUUGUACACACCGCCCGUCAUACCAUGGGAGUGGGUUGCACCAGAAGUGGCUAGUCUAACUUAGUGAGGACGGUCACCACGGUGUGAUUCAUGACUGGGGUAAAGUCGUAACAAGGUAGCCCUACCGGAAGGUG
rnacentral:rRNA from 1 species